AACCUGGGGAAACUCAGGCUAAUACCGCAUACGUCCUACGGGAGAAAGCAGGGGCUCUUCGGACCUUGCGCUAUCGGAUGAGCCUAUGUCGGAUUAGCUAGUUGGUGAGGUAAUGGCUCACCAAGGCGACGAUCCGUAGCUGGUCUGAGAGGAUGAUCAGCCACAUCGGGACUGAGACACGGCCCGAACUCCUACGGGAGGCAGCAGUGGGGAAUAUUGGACAAUGGGGGCAACCCUGAUCCAGCCAUGCCGCGUGUGUGAAGAAGGCUUUCGGGUUGUAAAGCACUUUCAGUGGGGAAGAAGGCUUUCGGGUUAAUACCCCGGAAGAAGGACAUCACCCACAGAAGAAGCACCGGCUAACUCCGUGCCAGCAGCCGCGGUAAUACGGAGGGUGCGAGCGUUAAUCGGAAUUACUGGGCGUAAAGCGCGCGUAGGUGGCUUGAUAAGCCGGUUGUGAAAGCCCCGGGCUCAACCUGGGAACGGCAUCCGGAACUGUCAGGCUAGAGUGCAGGAGAGGAAGGUAGAAUUCCCGGUGUAGCGGUGAAAUGCGUAGAGAUCGGGAGGAAUACCAGUGGCGAAGGCGGCCUUCUGGACUGACACUGACACUGAGGUGCGAAAGCGUGGGUAGCAAACAGGAUUAGAUACCCUGGUAGUCCACGCCGUAAACGAUGUCGACUAGCCGUUGGGUCCUUCGCGGACUUUGUGGCGCAGUUAACGCGAUAAGUCGACCGCCUGGGGAGUACGGCCGCAAGGUUAAAACUCAAAUGAAUUGACGGGGGCCCGCACAAGCGGUGGAGCAUGUGGUUUAAUUCGAUGCAACGCGAAGAACCUUACCUACCCUUGACAUCGAGAGAAGUUUCCAGAGAUGGAUUCGUGCCUUCGGGAACUCUCAGACAGGUGCUGCAUGGCUGUCGUCAGCUCGUGUUGUGAAAUGUUGGGUUAAGUCCCGUAACGAGCGCAACCCUUGUCCCUAUUUGCCAGCGAUUCGGUCGGGAACUCUAGGGAGACUGCCGGUGACAAACCGGAGGAAGGUGGGGACGACGUCAAGUCAUCAUGGCCCUUACGGGUAGGGCUACACACGUGCUACAAUGGUCGGUACAAAGGGUUGCCAGCUCGCGAGAGUGCGCUAAUCCCAUAAAGCCGAUCUCAGUCCGGAUCGGAGUCUGCAACUCGACUCCGUGAAGUCGGAAUCGCUAGUAAUCGUGAAUCAGAAUGUC
rnacentral:rRNA from 1 species